rnacentral:rRNA from 1 species
AUUGAACGCUGGCGGCAUGCCUUACACAUGCAAGUCGAACGGUAACGCGGGGCAACCUGGCGACGAGUGGCGAACGGGUGAGUAAUGCAUCGGAACGUGCCCAGUAGUGGGGGAUAGCCCGGCGAAAGCCGGAUUAAUACCGCAUACGACCUACGGGUGAAAGCGGGGGACCGUAAGGCCUCGCGCUAUUGGAGCGGCCGAUGUCAGAUUAGGUAGUUGGUGGGGUAAAGGCCUACCAAGCCUUCGAUCUGUAGCUGGUCUGAGAGGACGACCAGCCACACUGGGACUGAGACACGGCCCAGACUCCUACGGGAGGCAGCAGUGGGGAAUUUUGGACAAUGGGCACAAGCCUGAUCCAGCCAUGCCGCGUGCGGGAAGAAGGCCUCGGUUGUAA